GGGCUUGAUAUCCUAAGAACCUUUUAGAGAUAAGAGGGUGCUAGCUUGCUAGAACUUAGAGACAGGUGCUGCACGGCUGUCGUCAGCUCGUGUCGUGAGAUGUUGGGUUAAGUCCCGCAACGAGCGCAACCCACGUAUUUAGUUGCUAACGGUUCGGCCGAGCACUCUAAAUAGACUGCCUUCGUAAGGAGGAGGAAGGUGUGGACGAUGUCAAGUCAUCAUGGCCCUUAUGCCCAGGGCGACACACGUGCUACAAUGGCAUAUACAAUGAGACGCAAUACCGCGAGGUGGAGCAAAUCUAUAAAAUAUGUCCCAGUUCGGAUUGUUCUCUGCAACUCGAGAGCAUGAAGCCGGAAUCGCUAGUAAUCGUAGAUCAGCCAUGCUACGGUGAAUACGUUCCCGGGUCUUGUACUCACCGCCCGUCACACCAUGGGAGUUGAUUUCACUCGAAGCCGGAAUACUAAACUAGUUACCGUCCACAGUGGAAUCAGCGACUGGGGUGAAGUCGUAACAAGGUAACCGUAGGAGAACCUGCGGUUGGAUCACCUCCUUUCUAG
rnacentral:rRNA from 1 species